rnacentral:rRNA from 1 species
UACAGAGGGUGCGAGCGUUAAUCGGAAUUACUGGGCGUAAAGCGUGCGUAGACGGCUAUCUAAGUCUGUUGUGAAAGCCCCGGGCUCAACCUGGGAAUGGCAAUGGAUACUGGCAAGCUAGAGUGCGGUAGAGGGUAGUGGAAUUCCCGGUGUAGCGGUGAAAUGCGUAGAGAUCGGGAGGAACACCAGUGGCGAAGGCGGCUACCGUGGACCAGCACUGACACUGAGGCACGAAAGCGUGGGGAGCAAACAGG